CCUACGGGGGGCAGCAGUGAGGAAUAUUGGUCAAUGGGCGCGAGCCUGAACCAGCCAAGUAGCGUGAAGGAUGACUGCCCUAUGGAUUGUAAACUUCUUUUAUAUGGGAGUAAAAUGUUCCACGCGUGGGAUUUUGUAUGUACCAUAUGAAUAAGCAUCGGCUAACUCCGUGCCAGCAGCCGCGGUAAUACGGAGGAUCCGAGCGUUAUCCGGAUUUAUUGGGUUUAAAGGGAGCGUAGGUGGAAGGUUAAGUCAGUUGUGAAAUUUCGAGGCUCAACCGUA
rnacentral:rRNA from 1 species